UACAGAGGUCUCAAGCGUUGUUCGGAUUCAUUGGGCGUAAAGGGUGCGUAGGCGGCGCGGUAAGUCGGGUGUGAAAUCUCGGGGCUUAACUCCGAAACUGCAUUCGAUACUGCCGUGCUUGAGGACUGGAGAGGACGACUGGAAAUUUACGGUGUAGCGGUGAAAUGCGUAGAUAUCGUAAGGAAGACCAGUGGCGAAGGCGGGUCUCUGGACAGUUCCUGACGCUGAGACGCGAAAGCGUGGGGAGCAAACAGG
rnacentral:rRNA from 1 species